UACGUAGGGUGCGAGCGUUGUCCGGAUUUAUUGGGCGUAAAGAGCUUGUAGGCGGCUCGUCGCGUCGGGUGUGAAAACUUGCGGCUUAACCGCAAGCCUGCACCCGAUACGGGCGGGCUAGAGUUCGGCAGGGGAGAGUGGAAUUCCUGGUGUAGCGGUGGAAUGCGCAGAUAUCAGGAAGAACACCCGUGGCGAAGGCGGCUCUCUGGAACGCAACUGACGCUGAGACGCGAAAGCGUGGGGAGCAAACAGG
rnacentral:rRNA from 1 species